rnacentral:rRNA from 1 species
GCUCAGGAUGAACGCUAGCGGCAGGCUUAAUACAUGCAAAAUUUGAGGGGUAGACAUUGUGCUUGCACAGAUGACGACCGGCGCACGGGUGCGUAACGCCUUAUAGAACCUACCUUUUACUGGAGAAUAGCCUUUAGAAAUGAAGAUUAAUGCUCCAUAGUAUUGAGUUUUGGCAUCAAGAAUUAAUUAAAGAUUUAUUGGUAAAAGAAGGCUUUGCUUCAUAUUAGUUAGAUGGUAAGGUAACGGCUUACCAUGAUUAUGAUAGGUCGGGUUCCUGAGAGGGAGAUCCCCCACAAGGGUAAUGAGACACGGACCAGAUUCGUCCGGGAGGCAGCAGUGAGGAAUAUCGGCCAAGGGAGGUAAUUGUCACCCAGCCAAACCGCGAGAAGGACGACUGCCGUAUGGGUUGUAAACUUUUUUUUUACAGGAAGAAACAGUCGUAGGUAUACCAGCCUGUCGGUACUGUAGGAAUAAGGACCGGCUAACUCCCUGCCAGCAGCCGCGGUAAUACGGAGGGUCCGAGCGUUAUCAGGAAUCAUUGGGUUUAAAGGGUCCGCAGGCGGUAGAUUAAGUCAGAGGUGAACUCCCAUAGCUCAACUAUGGAACUGCUUUUGAUACUGUUUGACGUGAGUCAUAUGGAA